UGAUGGGGUUUGCCUGUUUCAGGCAAACAGGUUUGUUAAAUCCACACAACCUUCUGCUCCGAAAGAAACCCUUGAAGCAAAAGGCUGGCUUCCACCCAGAUUUAAAAGAGGAGAUUGCUUUUCAAUGGGCUGCGUUAGCAGGAGUCUGUGGCCAGCUGAGUUUUGGUUGAUAGGAAUCACUCCAGAACUUGAAGAAGGGAAAAGUCUCUCCUGGAAAGCAUCCUAAAUGUAUUUAAUGUGGGAUAAGCUUGUGACUCCACACUGAUCUACCUGCUCUCCUGCUGGGAAGAAUGAUCUUCCUGGUAAGGCAACAGCAGUUAGGAGGAGCAAUGAAUUGGAAACUGCUGAAACUGUGGAUCUCCUAGACCUUUUUUCUCAAUCCAUGAGCCCAUCACUAACGUAUCAUAGAACAGCCCAGGCUGGAAGGAACUUCGAAAGAUCAUCGGAUUCAGCCUUUCAUGGGAAAUGGAGCCUAGAUGAAAU